AAGAAAUCAAAAUGGCUGAAGAUAAAGAGACAAAGCAUGGAGGACACAAGAAUGGGAGGAAAGGCGGACUCUCAGGAACUUCAUUCUUCACGUGGUUUAUGGUGAUUGCAUUGCUGGGCGUCUGGACAUCUGUAGCUGUCGUUUGGUUUGAUCUUGUUGACUAUGAGGAAGUUCUAGGUAAGAAUUUUGAUAUCCUUAUGUGAAUUUGUAAGAGAGUAAGUGACAUCUCUUAGGAGUCUUGAAUAUUUGUUAUCAUCUUUCUGGUACUGGUAAUUUCUAUAGCCUUUCAGUGGUUCUCAAUAGAGUGAGGCUGAAAGGGGAUAUGAAGAAGGUUACCUUGGAGUAUUGUCUUUUGAACUCUUUAAAUGUGACCUGUAGGUUUUUGAAAAAAGGCUUUAUAUUGUAUGUCUGUCACACAGGGAGAAGUUUUAUCAAACAGUACUCAUUCUCACUAUAUGCAGUACUUUUUGAUUUCUAUUCAAUUUUGUUAUAUUAUAAAUUUUAAAAAUACUUGAUCAUGAGCCAUUACAUUUAUUUAAGGACUUGCUAAUGGAUCAUAACCACACAAUAUGCAAAACUCUUCCUUAGAGAGGGUUUUCAAAGUACACCCUUCUGUGUCUCUGUUGGGAUGGGAUGAGUACGUGUGCACACAUAUAGGUACUG
rnacentral:lncRNA from 1 species